GAUGAACGCUGGCGGCGUGCUUAACACAUGCAAGUCGAACGAAGCGCUUUUAUUUGAUUUCUUCGGAAUGAAGAUUUUAGUGACUGAGUGGCGGACGGGUGAGUAACGCGUGGGUAAACUGCCUCAUACAGGGGGAUAACAGUUAGAAAUGACUGCUAAUACCGCAUAAGACCAAAGUACCGCAUGGUACAGGGGUAAAAACUCCGGUGGUAUGAGAUGGACCCGCGUCUGAUUAGGUAGUUGGUGGGGUAACGGCCUACCAAGCCGACGAUCAGUAGCCGACCUGAGAGGGUGACCGGCCACAUUGGGACUGAGACACGGCCCAAACUCCUACGGGAGGCAGCAGUGGGGAAUAUUGCACAAUGGGGGAAACCCUGAUGCAGCGACGCCGCGUGAGCGAUGAAGUAUUUCGGUAUGUAAAGCUCUAUCAGCUGGGAAGAAAAUGACGGUACCUGACUAAGAAGCACCGGCUAAAUACGUGCCAGCCGCCGCCGUAAUAC
rnacentral:rRNA from 1 species